GAAAGAUUCAUCUAAUCUAUGGUAGUACACGAAGAAAAUCAGUAGUGUGCGUGUUCUACAAGUAUCAAGAUCAUUGAGUUAAAAUUUUCCUGAAAUGAACUUAGUGUCUAACUUGGAUUUCAUGGACUACUGUUCGAAGAGAACUGUAGUCCAGCGCUCAUAUAAAAAAAACCUUUGACAGUGGUGCAGAUGCUUAUAUACAACAGCAGCAAAAAUUAGCUCAUAAAACUCUACAGAUGCUAGUGAUAUCAAAGUCUCUCUAACUGUGUCAAGCAUACUUCUAGAUCAAUUCUUGGUUGGUAUUCCGCAAUGUACGAAUAGAAAGCAAAACAUUUGAUUUCAAUUAUAAUAACCAUAAUACAAAAUAAUAAUAAUAUGAUGAAUUUCACAGUAGGGUGAAAGUGAGAUAAAAGGUUUAAGUUUAGAAAGCUUUCUCUGCAACAUCUGGAAUAUUCUGAUGAUUUUCACCAUUUUCCAAAGUUCCUUCUUAGCAACAUGAACA